GAUUUAGUGAACGGCAUGAACGAAAUGAACGACUGUUACGCAAAAAGAAAAAUCGCCUUGCGCAGAGAAAUACCAUCUCAACAUUUGUACUUCUGUUAUUUUUAUUCUAUGGAUUUGAAAAACAUAUGAUGUUGAUUUUUUCAUUUUUAUUAAAAAAUCCCAAGAGACAGCAAUUUUGGGGGUUGGUUGGUUGCUCUCGUAUCUCAAAAUCGAACAACCCGCGAACUAAAUAAAGAGAAUAUGGCUUUAUUUAUUGAAGUACGUCCGUGUGAAAUAAUAAUGAAGAGGAAAUAUGAAGGGUCCAAAUAUCUAGAAUUUGGAUGAACGAAAAGACGUAAUAUUCAUUCUGCACGUCAGCAAAUUUUUCAACAAGAAUGGAUCACCUCGUGAUGAAGUUGUCUACACAAUAUAUGUAAUUAUGUAAUAAUUUUUCCACUGAUGAUUCGAAGCUGUAUAACUGUUCCUUUAUGAUAACAGAAGUGACAUAUAAUUUUCCUUAUUCGAUACCUGUUGAAAUCAAACAUGUUGAUUGUUGAUUAUGUAACUCGAGCGAACUGAAGGCAAGAAUUCUUCCAUCGUAUAAAUUCAACUCGAAAUUGAAAUUUUUCGUCGUCUGCAUCGAAGCACUCAACCUUGUAGUACACAAGUAGCUGUGAAAAGAAAGCUGAAAAUUUUUUUAAGUACCUCGUUGAAGACUACACGCUUUGAUAUGCGAACUGCGAAGACAUUAUUCAUUAAAAUUAGUUUUUCUUCGUACCGCCGAUAAUAUCAUAAAGUUUUAAACUUUUUUGUUCCAUUAUUUUACGAUUUUGUCACUAUACAUUUUAAAUUUAGAUUAUAAAAUUUUUAUAGCUCAUUUACGACUUUUUUAAUACUUCGAAUUGCCAUUGUAUAAGGUCGAAUUUGUUCAUCUUCGACCCACGUUAUACAUUAUUUCCGGCUUUUAAAAUAAUUUUAUGAUGUUUCCUUUCAGUUUGUAAUGCUUAAGCAUUCGUCCGAAAUAUUAAAAACAAUUUAUGACUUUUGGUAGCAAAACUUCAUUUUUUGCAAGGCGAGUUAUUGCUUUUUUUUAUGGUAUCAUUUAGUCGCUGAAAUGCAAAAUAUUACUCGUAUCUAUCGUGAUAGAUAAAAUAAGACGCGAAUUAGUAGAAUAAGCUUUAUUUUCGGGUAUAUCGUGCCUUGGAAAUUUCCACGUAUGCUGUGAUAUUGAGCGUUAUGUGGAAUGUGUUGCAUAUGUUUCGUCUGGGAAGGAAAAGUUUUGUAUUUUGAAUCCAUUUUUAGCGUGAAUUGAGCUUUAUAAGGCUGGUGAUUUGGUCUGCUUUGAGCAUCGAAGUAGUUUUUUAUGCACGAAGAACCAUAUUUUUAUAUGUAUGAAGGUACUUAUACCCUUUUUGGGGUAAUUUAUCUGCUUGAAUUACUCACAACACACCAGUCUAGUAAGGUUUAUAAUAAUUUCAAAAAAUGUGCUGACUGUGUUUCUCAUGGGGACCCAUCAAAACAUUUAUGAAGAAAUUUUUUCAAGAUAUUGACUUGUGGAAAAAUAAUUAAGAAGAAUUGGCAAUUUUCAAAUAGAAAAAUUUCUCCUACAUCAUCUGUGAACUUUCAAGUAGCUCUUGCAGAUAUUCAAAGGUUCCACCAUACGAAUAUUUUUUUGUCGAUUAUAGUGAUCAAAUAAGAAGCUCCAGAUUUGAUCAAGUAUGAGAAUAUCCCAUCGUGAUAGUGUUUUCAAGUUUAGAGAUGGAGAAUAAUGCAUUUCUACUCACUCAAGUAGGUAUGUGUAUUUGCAAUUUCAGUCACAUUUUAUUUGAAAAUAGAUAAAUGGACAUUUUUAUAUUUUCUACGAAGCUUUCAUAGAAUACAUUAAUUUCUAAAAGAAAAAUUCAAUCAUUAUUCAUUGACCAAGAUUCAAAUAUCACGAAGGAUCUGUGGAUGUGUCCUCCACCAUAGGCCUGUUUAUUGACUCUGAAGUCAGCAAUCGAGAAAUGAUCCGUUUCAAAUCUUAAGAUUGAUGCUUGAAGCCUGAAGGCUCUAAUAAGUACGUACUUACCAUCAUUUAUACUCACCAAGUUCUUCAAGUAAUAAAUUAUGUUGAUUUUCUCUGCGCUAGAAAUAGAAUAUAUCUGAUCUAAUUUGUUUAUUUCUUAUCUGAGCAAGUUCAUGAACCCAUAUCCAUUUUUUGAGCCAUUAAAAACUUCAAUUUUUCAUUUGAAUCGACUCACUCCAGCACCUUCAGAAUACUCACUUUUGCAAAAAUCAUUAUCCAGUUCUUAGUAAAUCCUCGCAAGGAAAAAAUAAACAUGAGAGAAAAAUCAAUGAGACAUUUACUUGUUAUCAUAAUAAUAUUACAACAAUCAAUAAAAUUAAUAAUAUUGAUUAAACAUAAGGUAUAUAAUGAAUUCGCGACCGCAGAAAAAAAAAUAAAAUAAAAAUUUAUACACGAGUGUAUGUAUUAUAUUAUGCAUGCUUAAAACACAACUAAAUCGGUUUCUAUAUACAAAUUAUAAAUGUGGAAGCGAAAGAAUGUAAAAAGCAAAAAAAAAAAAUCACUUCUUUAAAUAAUAAAUUGUUCCCAAUAGUAAAUAUCUUCGAAAAAAAAUUUGCCCCAACAAUAAUAAAUUCAUUACAAGAAAAAAAAAUAAAAGGAAAAACACAGGUACGUACAUUAAAUUAACUUUAAGCACAGCCUAACAAAUCUGUUCUUACUUUAUUACUAUUUAAUGCCGUAACAUCGCAAAAUCUUAUAAAGGAAAACAAAAAAAAAAAAAAAAAGUCCUACGCUAAGGAAAAUAAACGAUAAAACGUUGAAAGGAGAA